rnacentral:rRNA from 1 species
CACGUAGGCGGGUCAUUAAGUCGGGGGUGAAAUCCUGGAGCUCAACUCCAGAACUGCCUUCGAAACUGACGAUCUUGAGUUCGGGAGAGGUGAGUGGAACUGCGAGUGUAGAGGUGAAAUUCGUAGAUAUUCGCAAGAACACCAGUGGCGAAGGCGGCUCACUGGCCCGAUACUGACGCUGAGGUGCGAAAGCGUGGGGAGCAAACA